UACGUAGGGGGCGAGCGUUGUCCGGAAUUAUUGGGCGUAAAGGGCUCGUAGGCGGUUUGUCGCGUCGGGAGUGAAAACCCAGGGCUUAACUUUGGGCUUGCUUUCGAUACGGGCAGACUAGAGGUAUGCAGGGGAGAACGGAAUUCCUGGUGUAGCGGUGAAAUGCGCAGAUAUCAGGAGGAACACCGGUGGCGAAGGCGGUUCUCUGGGCAUUACCUGACGCUGAGGAGCGAAAGUGUAGGGAGCGAACAGG
rnacentral:rRNA from 1 species